AAAAAAAUUAAAAAUGCAGAAUAUUAAACAAGAAAAGAAAAAAAAUAAAAAGAAAGAAAGAAAGAAAAUUCCAGCCCUUAUCGAACUGGGUGGUUGCUGGGAUUGGGGGCCGUCGAUGACCCCCAAUCCCCAGGACGAGGUGGCCGACAGCCAAUUCAGCUCACUUGACAGUCAAUUCAGCUCGACAAUUACCAAAUCGAAGACAAAGAGACAGAAGAGCCGGAAGAUAACAGUGCAGAUCAAGCCCACAACCCAAAUUAAUCCGCAGAUCGAUGGAUCAAAAUCGAUUGACCCCGAAGGAGUGAAAUCGACUCUCUCUCUCUCUCUCUCUCUCUUCCCCCUCUCUGUGUUUGGUCUCUGCUAUCCCAAUCAGCGUAAUGCUAUCAGAAAGCAACGAGAAUGGAGAUAUUUCUAUAUGUAUCUAUACAUACAUACAUAUAUAUAUAUAUAAGGAAAAUGGAUUAAUUAGUGCAAACUAACAGAAAAAUGUGAUGGGAAUUGUUUAAUGGUGGAUGGAAGAUAGGGAAGGAUGUGGACUUUCUCUCACUAGAAGCAUUCUUCUCUUCAUGGUGCGCAUAUGACAGUUUGUGUGGCAAAUCCCUUAUGCAAGAAGCCAGCUCGAUUCGAACAAGAAGGCCAUGACCCUCAUCCCGGGGUGGCGGCCGACGUCAAGGCCCCCACCUAGUCGGAGAAGGGUUGGGGCUUUCUUUCUUUCUUUCUUUAUUUUUUUAAUUUUUGUUUUCUUUUCAUGUUUAAUAUUAUGUGAUUUUUAAUUUUUUCUAAUAAAAAAUCGACACGUGGACAAUUUAUAGCCA